GACGAACGCUGGCGGCGUGCUUAACACAUGCAAGUCGAACGGUGAAGGGACUGGUUUUGCUGGUCCUGGAUGAGUGGCGAACGGGUGAGUAACACGUGAGUAACCUGCCCCCUUCUUCUAGAUAACCGCAUGAAAGUGUGGCUAAUACGGGAUAUUCUGGGUCUGUCGCAUGGUGGGCCUGGGAAAGAUUGCGCCUUUUUUGGUGUUUUUGGUGGGGGAUGGGCUCGCGGCCUAUCAGCUUGUUGGUGGGGUGAUGGCCUACCAAGGCGGUGACGGGUAGCCGGCCUGAGAGGGUGGACGGUCACACUGGGACUGAGACACGGCCCAGACUCCUACGGGAGGCAGCAGUGGGGAAUAUUGCACAAUGGGCGCAAGCCUGAUGCAGCGACGCCGCGUGAGGGAUGGAGGCCUUCGGGUUGUGAACCUCUUUCGCCAGUGAAGCAGGCCUGCCUCUUUUUGUGGGUGGGUUGACGGUAGCUGGAUAAGAAGCGCCGGCUAACUACGUG
rnacentral:rRNA from 1 species